rnacentral:lncRNA from 1 species
AGCACAGGGACUGGAGCAGCAGUGGGUCUCAGAAACUCUUCGUUUAUAUCCUUCCACGAAUCCACAAUUCGUUUGUUGAAGAUAUCAAUUGUCUCUUGCUCUGAAACCCCGUAUUCAUUCAUGUAGCAAUCAAUACUAGAAGCAACAUGCCCUCUCUCUUUCUCAAACUGCAAGACCAAAUCAGAUAAUAUUAGUUCCAAAAACAAAUUACUACAGCAUUCAAAUGCAGCUCUGAUUCAACGUAGGAAUACCUUGUACCCAGCAAUGUCAUCCAUAAGCCUAAAUAUGGUAUUCGAAGCUCUAAGGAUUUUAGGCUCAUUGGUCAGCCACUCGAAUUCAAAUUUUGUUAUAAUGUCUCCCAUGCCUACUAAAGACACGACGGAAAGCAUGGUGUUACCGACAGAAGAUGCCGCAACUCGCAUAUACCCAUCCAUUUUUGGGGUGCAUCCUUCGUGGAACCAUCUGGCCUCAGCGAAGUAGAGCCUGGCUUGAUUCUUCAUCUGCAUGGAGAAAUAUAUAUAUCGAUUCAUUGUUCAUCUAUAUGUUAAAAAGCGAAUGAAAAACUACUUGUACUCCAUGCAUGUAAUGGUAGACUAAUCUUGCGUGAAAUUAGUCUAUCACGACAUGGAUUUGUUCUAGUUUUGUGCAUUGGUUAAUUAAUGCACUGUAAAAUCUCCCAUACUAUAAAUAUUGGGAGCAGAAUUAAGGGGUAAUUUUCAUGCUUUGGCGUACAAUUUCUUUUGCGUAGUGAAUUCGGUAAGAUCUUCCUUGCUUUGUCAGCUCCUCUUCAACUUCAUCGAUAACAUCCAGAAGUGUUAUAUAAAAUGGUUGCAUAUAGUCUGGCAGUUGAUCCAUGCAACUUGCAUCCCACCUGAAAGUUGUUCAAAAUUUAUCCAUAUUCAUCUUAGCUUAUAAUUGUAAGCAUGAAUAUUAUGCCAAAAUUGAUUCAGUAGUAAAUGAUAAGGCAACUGUUAUUUCAGACCUGUCAAUUGCUUCAGUCAAGAUGACGAGUUCUUCGAAUGUACCGAAUGCAUCAUACAUAUCAUCCAUUACUGUUGUUAUCUCAAUCAGUUUAGUCAGAAUGUGUCUCCCAAAGACGUAUUCAGGUUCGAAAUAUAUUCCUGCUAUCCAAAAGAACAACUCCACGAUCCUAUCUCGAGCAAAAGGCAUCCUCCUUGCAAAGUCCAGUUCCUUGUACCAUCUAGUAUAUUUAGAACAAUAUUAGGUUAUAACUUAUCUUGUAUAUGUAUAUACUAAUUAACUAUAAGAUCGAUGGCUUAAUUUACCUUAGAAUGUCACUGAGUUCCUUUUUGUGUAAACACUGAACAACAUUAAAAUCUAAUUUUGCAAGUUUCAGUAAAUUUUCACUGUAUGAAGCUUCAUCUUGAUAUAUUGACAUGUAACGCCGAGCACCUAACCUCUCCAUAGUUUUUAGUAGAGGUCUCUCUACGGCUUCAGUUAUUUGUGUUUUCAGCAAAGAGCUUUUUGCACUUGCUGACUGGAGAUGAGUGGUGGUAAAAACCAGAGCCUCUUCAAGUAAUUUUUCUCCAUGCACCCUCAGAUGGGCCGCCUCAUAAAAGCUCAGCAUACCAGAAAGAUCAGUGACCAAGCUUUUCUUGUAGUCACCAUUAGUAUCUUUGAACUUGUUGAAUACAUCUGCGUAAUAAAGUACAUAUAUGGUUUAAAAUUAAUAGACAUAUAUGUAAGAGAUGAAAUAUAGAAAUCUUGACUGCUUAACCCACCGCAGGAAACAUUAUAUCCAUGUCGCCUGAGUAGCCGAAAACGAAGAGCAACAUUGUACAGAUCACCACCAUCAUGAAUAUCUUGAUAUGUCUCAUGUAUACGUUCCAGGGCUUGAUCUAUUUCGCUUUCGAAAUGGUAAGCCACACCGAGGCGCUGGAUUUCAUCAAUUAGCUUCAGUUGAUGUGAAGAAUCAUCAGCAGCAUUAGUGAAUACUUCCUUCCUCACUACUUGUUUCAGCUCCUCAACUUGUUCUUGCAUUUGAGUUUGAGUUAUCUGCAAUUAUAACAAGCAAAUGAUCAGCAAAAUGUGUGUGUGUAUUGUGUAUAUGUUUAUAUGUUAUAGCAAUAAACCCUAGCCAAUACAUACAAUGUCUUCGGCAUAGUUAGCAAACCGAUCUCCCCAAACGCUAGGUUUAAAAUUUGCUGUGCGCCGAACAACUUCCGGCUUAGAGAUGAUCUGGGAUUCAGCUGCUGGAGUAGCUUGGACAGGCAUGAUUAACUUUCUGCACUUGUGG